rnacentral:sRNA from 1 species
AGGAGUGUGGACCGGACACCGUCGGUUGUCCACCAGGGAUGAGGCUGGACUGAGACUGCUGCAGCCCCGCUGGACCACAGCCGCUUUGUCAACUGUGUGCGAUUCUCUCCUGAUGGGAACAGAUUUGCCACAGCCAGUGCUGAUGGCCAGAUAUACAUCUAUGACGGGAAGACUGGGGAGAAGGUGUGCGCGCUGGGCGGAAGCAAGGCCCACGACGGUGGGAUUUACGCAAUUAGUUGGAGUCCCGACAGCACCCAUUUGCUUUCUGCUUCUGGGGACAAAACUUCCAAGAUUUGGGACGUCAGUGUGAACUCCGUGGUCAGCACAUUUCCCAUGGGCUCCACGGUUCUGGACCAGCAGCUGGGCUGCCUAUGGCAGAAGGACCACCUGCUCAGUGUCUCCCUGUCCGGGUACAUCAACUAUCUGGACAGAAACAACCCCAGCAAGCCCCUGCGCGUCAUCAAGGGUCACAGUAAAUCGAUCCAGUGUCUGACGGUGCAUAAAAACGGCGGCAAGUCCUACAUUUACUCUGGGAGCCACGACGGACACAUUAAUAUCCUUUGACUCAAAGA